rnacentral:lncRNA from 1 species
UACUUAUGUCAGAAAUAAUUGUCUAACAAAUGUCCAACCAUCUUUGAAAUUAAUGAGAAAUAGACCAUUGAGGUGUUCAUCCAUCACGAAGCUGCUAGCAAAAUUGUUCCAUCGAACCAACCAAAUUGUGCCAAUCAACAUUGUUCCAUGUAACCAACCAAAAUUGUGCCAAUCAACAUUGUUCCAUGUAACCAACCAAAAUUGUGCAGAUUAGAAACAACAACCACGACGAGCCCGGCCGAUGCCAGCGGUAGAGGAGGAGGUCGGCAUGGCGAAGUUUGGGGCGGUGGGAGCAGGUUGGCGUGUCCGGGUCGGUGAGAGCCGGAGGCGCGUCCUGGGCGGGGUGAGAGUCGGAGGCGCAUCCGAGGGAUGGCGGUGACGAGCUCCUGCCAAACCGCCGGCGACGAGCUCGAUGAGAGAUGAACAACAGGCGGGGGGUGGGGGUGGAGGGAGGAGGCCGCGGCCACUGGAGAGAUGGGGGAAGGGGCGGUGGAGGCUGGC